CUUUCAUUCUAGUGUGCUCAUGCUUAGAUCAUGCAUACUCUGAUUUCUUAAAAGUUUUGUUUAUUCUUGCCUAAAGGCUGCCAAACUCCAAGUGGUCAUACAAAUGGAACCAAUGACAAAUGUGUUCAACUUCUUCUACUGGAAUCUACCAGAUCGACCUUGUAAAUAGUUCAAAACUACUAAACUAUUGUAAAACCUAAAGUCUCACUUCCACUCCACAGAGCAUGAAUAGCUGAAAAGCCUCCAUGAUGCUGAGGCCUAUAGCCCAAUGAGGGCUCCAGAUGCAAGACUCAGAGCCUUAUUUCUGGAAGCUGUGAACAGCCAAAAGGGCGUCCAUGAUGCUGGGACCAAUACCUCAGCAAGGCUCCAGGAGCUUGAUGGAGGAACAAGCGUCACCCAGGAAGGAACACACCAGGCUAGAUGGUAAACAGACCUUUAUUAGUCUGGCCAGACUGCACUCCCAGAGCCAAAUAGACUUAAAAGCUAUGCAGCUACCAAGAUGA
rnacentral:lncRNA from 1 species